rnacentral:lncRNA from 1 species
CAGAGUCUAAAAAAACAAUGUCCUCAGGAAUACUUCAGAAAUAGAAGGUAUGCAAUCCCUUAGUGGGGGGCAAACACAUUUCAGAUUUCGUCUUUAUUUAAAAGGAUCUUCAGUCUACAACAUUUGCUUUUUUCGUGCUUUGGAAAAUAUCCUUGUGCAGAUAAGUUCUUCUGUUUGAAACAAGCAUGAAACAUUGGUCCAAUAACCUAAGAAUGUGGAGAUUUCUUGAUAUUCUGUAUUAAUUAAAGUUCUCUACAUGUCUCAAAUGGAGAUCACAAAACAUGAAAAGGAAGAAAUGAAAUAUCUUUUCUUCUGGGAUGAGUGUCAAUUUUAAUGUAUAAUUGUCAUAAUCAAUCAGCCAAAAGUUACAAUCUGUCCCUCAGAGACAUUGGGGGAAGCUGAUGGAUUUCCAGUAAGGAACUGUGGUGGGUUCAAACUCAGGCUGCCACAAAUACAUUGAUAUGGUAGGUAGGAAGUAGGACUAAAUUUGAAAGAAACUUAUGGGAUAAAGUUCACAAUUUUAAAAAGGUUGCCCUCCAGUUUUUUUGUUUGUUUAUAAACUAGAGUGAUUUUUAAGUAACCCUUAUAUUUAAGGCUGCAAAAAAUGUACAAGAGUAUGUUUUCAAGUAAAGGGAACAUAAUUCUUCAAAAAGCUGUUGAACUGGAGUUAUGAUAGGUUAUGACAGAGAGCAUGAUCAGUGCUGAUACUGACAAGUACUUUUUUACCUUAAAAUCAACUUCUAUGGAACUACAAGAUCAAUCUAGCUCCCGAGUGACAUUUUCCAUUGUCUGUAAUAAUGCCCUCGGAUGAGUUGUGUCUAAAAUUAAGUUCAUCUUUAUUUAUAUGCGAACUUAACUGCCAUAGUCCCUAAUGUAUUGCGUUUGUAACCUGAUCGUAUUAUGUUUACAGCUGAAAGAUUUCAUCUAGACAUGUCUUUCGUCCUUAUUAUUCAAAGUGUAAUUGAAAGAGAUAUUUAGUAUUAAGACAUGUUCCCCAAUUGAGAAUUUUCCAGAAUAUUCUACUUAAGAAGAAGAAGAGCAAUUAACUGCCUUUAGUGUAAGGGCGAGAGUGCAUAGAAAUAUGCAAUGUAAAAUGUUUGCAUGAAUUAUUUCACAUCAUGUAAGCUUUCCCAUAUUCAUAAGAUGAACACUAUAGAAGUCUCAUUUCUCUGUGAUCUUCUGUCCAUUAGGAAAGUAAGGAGAUUGUUAUCUAUAUCUAGUCUCCUUUCCAUAUUGAACUGCAUGGCUCUAAUCCUCAGUGUAUUUUUAUCCCUUCUCGAGUUAUUUAAAAUUUGCCCUAUUUAAGCUGAAGCCUGGAUAAACUGCUGAGCCAGAUUAUUCCUGUGAUUGGAGUUUAAUUGCUGUAGAACACUUGUUGAGAACACAUUUUUUACUUUUUUUCUUUCAGAAUUAUUCCUCAAUCAUUGUUCUCUAAUGAAAACACCGAGAAGUAAAUCUGGUGCUUCUUAGUGUAAAUAUGUUUUUCUUUUUAAAAAGUCAUUUUAAAACAAAGAUGAGAGAACUAUAAAGUAAGGGGAAAUAUCAUUUUAUUUAAAAAUAAUUAUUCAAUGAUAGAUAAUGGAGAUACAGAAUGACUCAUUGGGUUCAUAGGUAUGAUUUGUGCAGCCAGUCUUAGAGGAAAUACAUCAUUUUAACAUUAUUCCCACAAAAUGUUAAAGCUCAAUGGUUUGACUAUGAGAGUCAAACAAUUACUAUUUGAAAAUCUCUUAUGACAUUUUUAUAAUCUACUCUGUUUUUAUUUGCAUGAUUAUGCUUAUGUGAUGAACCAUCCAUGAUUCUGAUAUUGUAUUUCUUUCCAGUAUUAACAUGUGUAUUGUGUGGCCAACUCUGAUUUGUACACCGUAUUAUUGUUGUAAUGAUUCAACUGUUCCUACAUUUAAUUGCAGUUUAAUUAUUAUGCCUUUUGGGGUUAAAUGAUGUGAAGUGUUUCCACCUACUGAUAAAUACCAUAUGAAAACACGACUAAAAGACUGAUUUAAGAAACUUGUUAUUUUUAAAAAUAUGAAUUUCAAAAGAAAUGUUCUCAAAGACACAUGCAUUUAUUUUAAAUUCAAAAAAUUCUUAUGAAUUUAUUAUUGCUUGUACUUUAACUUUUUUUAUUGUAGACAAUCCUAAGUGAAUAAUGUCUCAUGGGAGAACACAUGAUAUGUGCUUGUAUUUGUGUAAUCUGAUCAUGCACUCAAUGGUUGGAAAAGGCACUCCAGUGCUAAGAAAAUAACCAGAAGCCAAUAUAUCGAUUCUUAUAUCUCGGUUUAUGUUACCAACUGAAUAUGGUGUAAUGCAUAACUUUUUCCAGUAAAUAAACUGGUUAUUUUUUGUUCAUUUCA